rnacentral:rRNA from 1 species
ACGUUACCCGCAGAAGAAGCACCGGCUAACUCCGUGCCAGCAGCCGCGGUAAUACGGAGGGUGCAAGCGUUAAUCGGAAUUACUGGGCGUAAAGCGCACGCAGGCGGUCUGUCAAGUCGGAUGUGAAAUCCCCGGGCUCAACCUGGGAACUGCAUUCGAAACUGGCAGGCUUGAGUCUUGUAGAGGGGGGUAGAAUUCCAGGUGUAGCGGUGAAAUGCGUAGAGAUCUGGAGGAAUACCGGUGGCGAAGGCGGCCCCCUGGACAAAGACUGACGCUCAGGUGCGAAAGCAUGGGGAGCAAACAGGAUUAGAUACCCUGGUAGUCCACGCCGUAAACGAUGUCUACUUGGAGGUUGUGCCCUUGAGGCGUGGCUUCCGGAGCUAAC